UGCAGUCGACGGUAACAUUUCUAGCUUGCUAGAAGAUGACGAGUGGCGGACGGGUGAGUAAUACUUAGGAAUAUGCCUUUGUGUGGGGGAUAACUAUUGGAAACGAUAGCUAAUACCGCAUAACGUCUUCGGACCAAAGGGGGCUUCGGCUCCCGCGCAAAGAGUAGCCUAAGCGAGAUUAGCUUGUUGGUGAGGUAAAGGCUCACCAAGGCGACGAUCUCUAGCUGUUCUGAGAGGAAGAUCAGCCACACUGGAACUGAGACACGGUCCAGACUCCUACGGGAGGCAGCAGUGGGGAAUAUUGCACAAUGGGGGAAACCCUGAUGCAGCCAUGCCGCGUGUGUGAAGAAGGCCUUCGGGUUGUAAAGCACUUUCAGUUGUGAGGAAAGGUUAACGGUUAAUACCCGUUAGCUGUGACGUUAGCAACAGAAGAAGGACCGGCUAACUCCGUGCCAGCAGCCGCGGUAAUACGGAGGGUCCGAGCGUUAAUCGGAAUUACUGGGCGUAAAGCGCACGCAGGCGGUUUGUUAAGCUAGAUGUGAAAGCCCUGGGCUCAACCUGGGAAUUGCAUUUAGAACUGGCAGGCUAGAGUUUUGGAGAGGGGAGUGGAAUUCCAGGUGUAGCGGUG
rnacentral:rRNA from 1 species